rnacentral:lncRNA from 13 species
UGCUUAGCUUAAAAAUACAUUUCAGUGGGAGGUGGAGCAAGAUGACCAAAUAGAAGCCUCUACUGUUUGUUCCCCCUGCAGGAACUCCGAAUGGAACAACUAUCCGCACAGAAAACCACCUUCAUAAGAACGAAAAAUCAGACUCCUGCCACCACCAUGAGAAGAUGCUGUUUCCAGCUUGAAGGAGAAAUAUAACAGAAGUCCAAUGAAAGAGAGCUGAGUGUCCCCAAUGAUGCCAUCGAGAUGAGCUAACUACAGUUAACCAGCCAGGUGACAGCAGAUACAUGAGUGAGCCCAUCUGAGAGCAGGUGAGCAUAGCCCAGGGUAGCAGAACUGCUGAGCCAGUCCCUUAGUUGACUCAGAAUAGUAAGUGGUUGUCUUCAGCCAUUAAUCGUAGAGUGAUUUGUUAUACAGCAAUAGUAUAUCGGUACAGGAUCAUUGGUUCCAGAAUUCCCAUAUUAGAGAUGAGAAAACUAAGGCUGGGGAUCUACAUUUUCCCCAACUUAAUAUAGCUACUAAACUCCCCAAAUUUUAGAGUUGACAACUCUACUUAUAAGUUAUAUAAAAUCCGGAGCACCUAAUUAUUGACAAACUUCUCAA